rnacentral:rRNA from 1 species
UACGGAGGGUGCGAGCGUUACCCGGAUUUACUGGGUGUAAAGGGCGUGUAGGCGGUCUCUCAAGUCCGAUGCUAAAGACCGAAGCUCAACUUCGGGGGUGCGUUGGAUACUGUGAGGCUAGACGGUCGGAGAGGGUAGCGGAAUUUCCGGAGUAGCGGUGAAAUGCGCAGAUACCGGAAGGAACGCCAAUAGCGAAAGCAGCUACCUGGACGAUUUGUGACGCUGAGGCGCGAAAGCGUGGGGAUCAAGCCGG